UACGGGGGGGGCAAGCGUUGUUCGGAAUUACUGGGCGUAAAGGGCUCGUAGGUGGCCAACUAAGUCAGACGUGAAAUCCCUCGGCUUAACCGGGGAACUGCGUCUGAUACUGGAUGGCUUGAGUUCGGGAGAGGGAUGCGGAAUUCCAGGUGUAGCGGUGAAAUGUGUAGAGAUCGGGAGGAACACCGGUGGCGAAGGCGGGUCUCUGGGCAUCUCCUGACGCUGAGGCGCGAAAGCGUGGGGAGCAAACGGG
rnacentral:rRNA from 1 species